CUAUAGUUGUGAGCUAUGCCGCGUUGCUCUCCUUUGUGCAGUGAUGGAGUCUUCAGCCUUGUCUGGAUUGGAGGUUUGAUUUGAGGGUUGGUGGCAUGCGUUUGGUUUGGCAAGGGUUAAAUUUGGUUGCUUAUGGGUGUUUCAUUCUUCUCCGACUGAUGGCAAUGGUGGCAGUGUUACUGAUGUGAUACUGGUACAUCUGGAGACAGUGGGACUGUUGAAGAUCGGUGGUUACUUCGCCGAUGAGUUGGGUUUGGGCUAGGGCUUUUGGUUUGUGGGUUUGGGUUUGAUGUUUCUGGGCUCUCGGUAGAUGACUUUGAUUUCUAUCUCUUGAUUUUGGCCCACGAAACCUUUUAAUGCAAUAACUGUAUUAGCCGAAAAAGAAAAUGGAGCUAUAUUCCGGUACAGCUGACCCCAUUGUCACACCAUUGGGCCUGAUAAUGAUAGUACACGUGUAUGUCCAAGAUUGAUGUCAUUUUGGAGGUCCCAGCAGCCAAAACAUGCUUUAAUUUUUAUCUGCUAAUGUUUUAUUCGUGUUUUACACCUUCUUUGUACAAAUGAUACAUGUCAUCUAUUUUUUUUUUAUAUAUAAUUGUUUAUUAUAUGAUAUGGUAUCAACAUUAUAUAAUUUAUA